AUUUAUAUAGUUUAAAUAAAACAUUACAUUUUCAUUGUAAAAAUAAAAACUUUUAUUUUUUAUAAAUA
rnacentral:tRNA from 1 species